AAAUAACAUUCGUGAAUUUUUUCGCGGAUUUGAGUUUUCCAGUAUUCAUUAUAAAAUAAAUGUUGGUAACUUUAAAAUUAUUUUAUUACUUGGUACAAGUUGAAAACGUGCUAUAUGUGUGGUUCGCUAACAACUUGUCCAUCUUUAUAUAUUAUGCGCGUGCUUGGCUUUUUUUAAAGUUUUGUGCGAGUAUAUAUUUUU
rnacentral:misc_RNA from 1 species